GACGAACGCUGGCGGCGUGCUUAACACAUGCAAGUCGAGCGGAAAGGCCCUUCGGGGUACUCGAGCGGCGAACGGGUGAGUAACACGUGAGUAACCUGCCCCAGACUUUGGGAUAACCCUCGGAAACGGGGGCUAAUACCGGAUACGACACAGCUUCGCAUGGGGUCUGUGUGGAAAGUUUUUCGGUUUGGGAUGGGCUCGCGGCCUAGCAGCUUGUUGGUGGGGUGAUGGCCUACCAAGGCGACGACGGGUAGCCGGCCUGAGAGGGCGACCGGCCACACUGGGACUGAGACACGGCCCAGACUCCUACGGGAGGCAGCAGUGGGGAAUAUUGCACAAUGGGCGGAAGCCUGAUGCAGCGACGCCGCGUGAGGGAUGACGGCCUUCGGGUUGUAAACCUCUUUCAGCAGGGACGAAGCGUAAGUGACGGUACCUGCAGAAGAAGCGCCGGCCAACUACGUG
rnacentral:rRNA from 1 species